GGGAGAAAGGGUGAUGUGAGCCCAGAGAGAUUGUAUUACCAAAUUGCAAAAACGGAGUGAAUGGGGAGAGAUGAAAGGAGCCGAGACCAAGACUGGGAGCGGGGACCACCAUCCAAUGGCCUGAGAGAGCUGGAAGGCUUUUCUGAAAUGAGGUACCACUCCCCGGGACACAGGUGCAUGCCCAGCAUCACUGUGGGAUAUGACUUCAGGAAUCUGAGGCCUCAUCCCCAAAGCCAAGAGGCGCUUGCAGGAGAAAGCCAUCUAUAUCUUGUCGUUUAGCUUCACACACUCUUGCGUUCACUUUCCUGAAGACGAGAGAACCGAGGGGACAAUGCAAAUCCCAUUCAAUACUAGGGCAAGUGCAAUUCAGGGAGCUUAGCUGAACUGCUCAAGAUGUAGGGCAAGUGAGGGAAAAAGACCACGUUUAAAACCUCUCACCUGCUGGAAAACCAUCAGCGCAUAGCAGCUGAGAGGGAACGCUCUAUCUGUGCUCACUCUUUCUACAUUUUGGAAGCAGCGAGGGGGUGAUAAGGCAAGUUCGUGUUCAUUGUCCUGCAUACCUUUUCCUCCAGGGAUCAAUAGUUCGUUCCAGCUGAGAGCGUGAAAUGUGUCUAACAGGGACACAGGUUAGAUCCUGGUGGUCCUUAUCUCUACUUUGCUUGUCUAAGUCUACGCCACUUCUCCAAGAAGCAAAUGUAUCCCUAAUAUUGGGUUUCACCACGCCGAGUGCCCUUCAGUUCUCGUUAAAUUCCAUUCUUUGUCUCCUGUAUUCUUUUCUCUCUGUGAUUACCACUUCUUUGCAUAUUUCUUCUGGAGCUCUCUACAUAGGCUCCAAAGCCCUGCCUUGGAGGUAAAUCCUUAGCCUCGAUGAGUAGGCAGCAAGCCCCUCUUGCACACAACAAAGACUUCUAUUUUUUUUUCUAUCUUUUGGGCGACACGAUAAAAAAUAACCCUGUAUUUAUGCAAAUUGCAAAGUAGCGUGUGAUAAUGAAAACAAAACAGUGCUGGCCCGCAGCCAAGACAUGGCGCUGACGGGAGCUCCCCGACCAUUUGGCUCUUGAUUCUUCGGGGAAAGCAGCUGUAGAGAAAUGAGAAUACAGGACCCCCUCCUCACACUCGCACACCCUGGUUCGCACGCAUUCCGGUACCCGUCACCUCGGAGCCAGCGAGACCUGGGAUCCAAAUGCGGUUCUGCCUCCUCCGGCCGUGGAGCACUGCAGUGUCGUCCUCCACGAGCCUCCCUGCCCCUGCUCCUGAUUCCCUUUCAGGAAUUUACAAACAUUUUCCCCAGAUCAAUAUCCGUAUUGAUUAUUCAUUGUGAGUGAGUCGUGUGUCUUUGGUGAUCCAGCUUGCAGAGGUAGCAGGCAAAGGCUGCUGCGGGGGAAAAAAAUAACAGAAGGCGAGAGGGACCCAGCUCUUGCUGGGUCUGCGGCUGUCGGCAACACAGAAGGGAAGAGAAAAAGAGAAAAGCACCUCAAAACCAAGGAAUGGACACGGGUGGAAGAGAAAGAGGGAGCAAUAGCAAGAAAAAAGGAAUCGAUGACUGGACAUCUGGUCCCAGGGAAUCUCGAUGGCUUGGAGGAAACCCCCAUCUUGGGUCUGCUGUUACGUGCAGGACGCAAUGGACUUUGCUCUGGGAGUGCAAAGUGACUCACAGUUUUGGUAUCUCCUACGUAAGAGCUUUGGGGGGAUUCCUUGGCUUGCUGACAGGCAAGGAAGACAGCGGCAGCAGUGAGGUAAAACACGAUUACUUCCAACUGCCUUGCGGAGGAGGCGCAGUCGUGCGGUGUGACUUGGACAGCUUGCUGCUCUCUGAUGGCACGCGGAGGGAGAAUAAUUAAAAAGGCCAGCAUCACUUACUAAGAUUCCAUAUGAGGUUCCUGCUUCCUGGAACGUUCACCUCGGCUUCCUUCAUUUGACCAACUCCUCCUCCCCUUUCAAGACUGUUCCAGCAAGAAGCAUUUCUCCCCCGACCGAAACCUCCCAUGCUGGGUUACGUGCUACUGCAAGACCCUAUUCCUGCUUCCCUCUCCCACAGCAUGACUCCACUUUCACAAUGACCAAGUUUUCCCAUUUGACCAUGAGACACAUGGAGGCAGAGACCGUGCCCUUCAUCCCUGUCUUCCCAGCACCCAGCACAGAUCCCAAAAUAAACUGGGUGCUUAAUAAAUUAAUAUUACUAUUUUUAUUCCAAGUAUCAUAAAUAGUAUUUUUCCAGCUGUAAGAUUACAGGCCUCCAAAAUAAUCAAGCUGAGGGAAAUACAGCGACCGUUUCCCAUAGAGAAAAAAGGAUUUCCUAUUGGGCAAUUCUCACCUACAUCACUUUUUUGACUUCUUUCAGGCGAGAGACAAGCAGUGGGGUGGUCUUUAGGUGUUUGCUGAUGUGGUAGAAACUUUGGAGUUAAUUAGAAGCUCUGGCUAAGGCCGAACUUCCUUUGCAGAGUUCCUGGGAGGAAACACUAAAUUAACAGUUCAAGGUUACUAUUAGAAAAAUGGCCUGUUUCCCUAUGUUAUGCCUCAGAGAGUUUGUUCUUCUCUCUGCCAUUUCUAAGAUGUUUCCAUUUUCCUUUUUACCUGGGUAGGUUUGCCACCCUAAGCCCAGUCAUUCCAACACAGGUGAAAGCUCUUGAGGUCAGGGACUGAUUCUUCGCCUAUCUUCCAGCAGCGGUAGAUUCUGGGGCACUCAAUUAGUACCUGGUGGAGUUGAAUAGUGAGAAAAUCUGCUCAUCACAGAAGAAGGAACGGGGAUGAUUUCCUAAGUUCCCAUUUUCCACAAAGCAGAAAAUGGCAUGAGAUCAGUAGUACCAGACCUCCCUGGCAGUGCUAGAAAUAUCUCAAGAUACUAUGAGCAAUUUCUAAAUUUGGAAAUGCACUGAUUCUUGUUAUUUGCAGUAGUUAUGCUCUGUAAAGUUGCCACAGACACUGAGUUAGUGAAUACCGAACCAUCGCUCCUAGGGGAAAUAGAGAAUUAGGUUCCUGCAAGCCUCUGGUCACAAUGUUUUCAUCAAUGAAUCAAUACAGAGCCUCGUUUUAUGUGUGUUCCUGUUGAAGAUUUAAGAACCUUAUUUUGUGUGUGUGUGUGUGUGUGUGUGUGUGUGUAUAUCUAUACAUAUAGUUACUUAACAUUGAACUCAUGGCCAAUAACACUAUAAUGCAUACCUGAAUGAAGCUUAAUUUACACAUGUGUUUUCUUUGUAAGGGACACCACAGCCUUCUUGUGCUUAGGACCACCAGACGGUACUUUUGCAUCAUGCUUGCAGGGUAUUUUCUUUUCUUUUUUUUUUUGAGACAGUCUUGCUCUGUCACCCAGGCUGGAGUGCAUGGGUGCCAUUUUGGCUCACUGCAACCUCCACCUCCUGGGUUCAAGUGAUUCUCCAGCCUCAGCCUCCCGAGUAGCUGGGAUUACAGGCACAUGCCACCAUGCCUGGAUCAUUUUUGUAUUUUUAGUAGAGACAGGGUUUCCCCAUGUUCGCCAGUCUGAUCUCGAACUCCUGACCUCAAGUGAUCUGCCCACCUCGGCCUCUCAAAGUCCUGGGAUUACAGGUGUGAGCCACUGUGCCCAGCGUUGCAGGGUAUUUUAAAUGACAAAAUCACCAACUAAGAGCACAAAAUGUCAACAACAUGGCAUUAUGAAAAGAACACUUGUUUAUAGUAUGAGAGAUAAAACAGGAAGCAGACCCUUAUUUGACCUCAGCUGGGAACACACACAUUGGGCGACUUGAUGUUUUCACCUCCCUGCAUGUGUCUGUGAAUAAUGAUGAAAGUGCUGCAAGUAUUGAUUUUGAAGUUACAACUAAAUUUCAAUGAGUAGGUGAAUUUGCAAAUACGGAAUCUGUGAAUAAUGAGGUAAUACAUACUAUCAGGAUAUACUAGUGAAAGAGUAGAGUUUUGCUUAUUUCCAAAUAGAGAAAAGGAUCAUCAAACUCACAGGGCAUUUCUGACUUUGAAGUCCCUUCUUUAAAUUGUACAAAACAUCUACUUUCUGGCAAAGUUCAUCUGUGCUUUCUUAGAAGUUUUCAUAUAAAUAAUUGGCACUCACCAGAAGUUGUCUAACUGUUGGGGAUGGGGUGGUGCAUUUUUCUCAAAGAAAGAAAACUGGUUUGCUGCCAGGAGAGGCAAAGACUAGGCAAUUGAUGAGACCCCACUGGAAGCUGAAGGACCUCCCGCUGUUUAUGAUUUAAAGUCGGCCUUGGCGAAAUGACAGAUGACUCACGUUAGGCACCUGUGCCCAUAUACAGAGGAUUAUACAUGAUAGUCUGAAAAGUAUUCUUUUGAGCUAAAUCUUGCCCUUUUUGAGUUAUACCAUCAUGACAUUUCAUAUGGAAAGCAGCUGCUUAGAAACUCAUUUUUGCUUUUUGCUUAUUGAGUCCCAUCUUGUUGCAAAGAAUGGAUACAGAAUUCUAAAACGCAAUGCUACCCUUUUCACACUAACCAAAGGCACAGAGGUACAUGUGUUUUAGAUGUCAGGAAAGGGGGUCACUCAGGCAUGCAGAGUGGACUGAGAGGAGAAGUGUAGUGAGAUUCAGAAACUAAGAGUAAUAAAAGGAGGGUUGGGGGCCGGGCGCGGUGGCUCAUGCCUGUAAUCCCAGCACUUUUGGAUGCCCAGGCGGGUGGAUCACCUGAGGUCAGGAGUUCAAGACCAGCCUGACCAACAUGGAGAAACCCCGUCUCUACUAAAAACACAAAAUAAGCUGGACAUGGUGGCACAUGCCUAUAAUCCCAGCUACUUGGGAGGCUGAGGCAGGAGAAUCGCUUGAACCCAGGAGGCGGAGGUUGCGGUGAAGCAAGAUCGUGCCAUUGCACUCUAGCUGGGGCAAUAAGAGCAAAACUCCGUCUCAAAAAAAAAAAAAAAAAAAAAAAAAGGAGUGUUGGGCACUUCUUACUACGUCUUAUUAAAAGUCUAUUUGGAGUUAGUUCCAUCAGGAUCAGAAUCUCUGCUCUCUUAUUAGUAUUGUGAUCCUAAAACGUUGAGUGACCCCUUUGAGAACUGCUCUCUCUUCUGUGAAAUGGGACCCUAAUACCAACCUCUUGGAAUCACUGUGAGGCUUAAAUGAGAUAACAAUGUCAAGUGCUGGGCUCUAAGUCCAGCAGAAAGUUGGUAAUCAUUGCUUUUGCUAGCAUCUUCUGGGUUCCUAACUAGCAAUCUGACUUUUUGGGCAUAUUCAUGGAGAUACGGAAGACUGGAGUUGAAGAGACCUGCUCUGGGUCAACUUCCUUACUUUAUAGAGGAGAAAGUAGGCUGAGUGGGGUCCAACCAGCACAAGUAUCACAAAGGUAGUCAGGGCAGAAUAAGAAGGAGAACCUAGCUCCCUGAAGCCCAGUUCACAAUUAUACAGUAGGGUCCUGGUGCCUAGAUUUCCACUCCAGAUCCUCCUUCUACAACUAUGAACUGUCUGCCACCCCCACACCCACCCCAUUAGCCUGGUAACUACUGCUCCAUGGGUUAGUGUCUUCUUUGGCAGAAAGACUUGGUGCUACAUCAGCCAAGUUAGAAUUUUUUAGAGCAGGAACCACUGAGUGUGAGUUUUUCGUGUCUCUUGACUAUACAUAAAAAUAGCUAUGAACAGAUAAUACUCACAGCAUAUUAAUGUAAGACAAAGCAAAACGGAUCACAGAAGCUACAGAAGGAAUGCUCCUUUUAAAAGAGAUCAAUUAUUUCUUCAGUUCUCUGUAGCAAUUUGCAAGAUGCUCCCUUGGAAAAGCCCACAGGGAAAUGCUGCUGGAUAUAUAAACCCUAAAGCUUAUAACUGAUCAUGCAAUAACGAGACAAGAAAGCUGUGCUGGACAAACUGGAUGAGGCUGGUUAAUUUCCAACAAGCCUGUCUUAACGAGCGGAGUACAGGCUUAACACUGGCCAUUUCAAGGUGCCAGCAACCUUGCCAUCAGUGUGGAGGUGUGGGGUAGAGGGUAAGAUAGCACAGUCCUGGGGAAGCCAUUGCAGCAACUGGGCCGUGCUAUGGAAUAAUGAAUCACGAGGCAUUUGGGCAAGAAGUUAUAACCAGAAGGACGUGGCAAUAGCAAGACAAAUCACAAUGGACUUAGUGGGUCCUGACAGUGAAAAGGAGGUCAGAGGCUGGAGUGUGUGGUUAAAUGAGUAGGGUCUACCACUGUGCAGUUCAGCCAGGAGAGCUGAGUGGUCCAGACAGCUACAGAAGCACCAAGAUUGGAGCUAGUGGCACAGCUCAGGCUGGCUCACCUCUGCUCAGCUAAGUUGGGUUAUAUAAGCAGGUAUCAACAUUUUGAAGUGGUUAUAUAGGCCUGGUGGGAUGGGUGUCCCUUCGUCCACUUCAUCACAUAAGAGAUAAAUCUUUGCUAUAAAUUGCUCAUGCUUCAGCAAAGAACAAUAUUUCUUAGUGGGUAUUGGAAGGUCUGGAGGCAACAGGCAAAUUCUAUUUCUCCAUGGCUGUGUCCCACUCACUCUCUAUUCUUCACCCAUUUUUGUCCUCAUUGUACUCAUAGCCAAUCAAACUGAGGAUCCACAAAGGCUGAUAUCAGAUGUAACUUCAUCAGAAUAUCCUCCUUGUGAAAGAUCUGUACCUAUAUUUAAUCUGCCAAGGUAAUAGGUUUAAGUGAAACACAGCUGACAUAUCCAACCCACUAAGCUAUUAUAUUUGCAUUUUAUAUUGAACAUCCCUGUAAUAUUCUCGUUGCUAGAUGGAACUGACAUUUCCAUAUGACGGUAAAGGCUAAAUUGUGAAUUGCUUUCAUCGGGGUUUUGCUUCAGUGAUUUCACCACGCUAUAGACAUAGACAAAAAAUCACAACAAAUACACAUAAGUAUCCAACACGUUUUGUGUGUGUGUGUGUGUGUGUGUAUAGUCUGUUCAGUGGCUUAAUUUGGACUUACGCAACAGAUCACCCACCCAGAAUCUAAUUAUUCAGCAACCAUGUUACUUAUUUGGAAUUGAUAAUAAUAAUAAAUGUUUUCUAAGAAGCUGGAGAAGCUGUCACUGAAGUGACAUCAUGGAGGUUCAGAGAUGGUAGAGAAUGCCGGUAGAGAACGCCUCAAGUGCUUGGUCUCAGUUGGAUGUGAGGUCUGUUUUAAGAAUGGUACACUGAUGGCCAGGAGCCCUUGGGGAUCAUGCACCAUGCUAGGCAGCCCUCCUUUCAAAGAAAGGCUUGUGAAAUCAGGACUUGGGAUCUUAGAUCUUUUUUAGUGUGGGAUUUGCAGGAAAGCAAGUUUGGCCUUUGCAAGGAUGGGAAGUGGCAGCACUGGUCCAUCGGAGGAGGGUUUUUGGGAAUAUUUUUGAGUGGCAGAUGAAGGAUUCUAGAAGAGUAUUCAUCCUGAGGAGAGGGUCAGACACACAGGCUUGACUUAAGAAGGAUGACACAGUAAUCAAAGGGGUGGGCGGAUUUGGGGUACAGGACGCCUUCCACUGUGAAGAAGACAGAUUAUCCUUCUCUCCUCCAUCCUCCAAGCCACAUCCCAGCACACAGGCUGAAUCCCAGUGACAAGUGAAAGAUUCGAGAAUGAUUUUCACACAAAGCCUCUUCGAGGGACAGGACAUGGGGGCCAGAAGGGCUUUGGGAACAAGGCAACUGAUUAUGGCAUAACAGUCAAGGAAAGAGAUUCUUUCCCAGCUAUGGAGGAGUUUCCAGGCUGUGGAAAUGCCAAAGGUGAAAAUGACAAAGUGGAAUUGAGGGAAUUUCAACCCGAAGCAGACACCUGUGCUCAUGGCCAUACCAGCCCCAUGUCCAGCGGGAUCCCUUAGUGACUGGAACCUGUGAUAUCACCAACUAUGGCAGCAGGGAGAUGUUGGCACACAGUGAUGCCACCAGCUUGAGGAAGGACAGGAGAGACUGCCUUUGCACGGACAGCAACCAGGAGAUCUCCCAGCAGCAGGGACAGAGCAGGAUGGGGCACCCUCACAAAGACUGAUACAUGGCAGAGGACUUAGAAACCAGCAGGGGUUGAGAAGACUGAUGUGAACACAUGUGACAUCCCCUUUCCCAGUUCACUCCCCAGAGUACCUGGGGGAGAUUUGGAGCAGAAGUGGGGGCUUACAAUUGCAGGUGGAGGUCAAAGCCACCUAUAUUAACAGAGCCCAGCUCUAUAUAGCUUUGACCAGAGAAACUGGUGAUCUCAGCAACCUAUUCUUGGAAACUCUGUGAAGGGAGGAUGGGUGGUCAAACUCCACUUGUAUGGACAAUGAUAACUAAUUUAGAACCUUGCGCUUACAUUUCCCCCAAAACUCAUAGCAGUCACCACACUGCCCUCUCAUUGUUGAUUUACUCAUCUGUCUCCUCUUGCAAGAUGUAAGCUCCUUGAGGAAAGGAACUAUAUUUUAUUCAUCUUCACAUCCCCACUUUUCUGUUUUUUUGUUUGUUUCUUUGUUUAAUACAGUCUCGCUCUGUCACCCAGGCUGGAGUUCAGUUGUGUGAUCAUAGCUCACUGUAGCCUCAAACUCUUGGGCUCUAGCAAUCCUCCUGCCUUGGCCUCCCAAAGCACUGGGAUUACAGGCAUGAACCACUGCAUGGGGCCCACAUUCCAAAUUUUCAACACUGUGUCAGGCAAACAGCAGACACUCAAUCCAGGCAUGUUGGAUGAAUAAAUAGAUGAUGCCUUAAAAAAAUAGAUGAUGAAUAAGUCAUAAUAAUGAGAUGGCCUCAAAUGAGAGGUAGGUUAUGUAAAUAAGCAAAGAUGGUGUCCAAGGAUGUUGUUCCAAAGACGUAGGGCUCCUUCUGGGGAGGCUGUCAUGGGGAGUUAGGAGGAAUUUGUAUGGUCCAGAGCUGGCCCCUACCUGGGCCCUUCCAGAACCCCAUGGAAACUCAUCAGAUUGUAGCCCCUAGUACUGAUCUAGGUGUUCUUGAGGUGAGCAGAGAGGGUAGCUGGGCCACACCUCAACUACUUUAAACUCUUAGUAAUUGAAGAAGUGAAAGCGUAAGAGUAAGGGUCCUAGAAGGUGAGAAGAGAUGACAGAUGAACUUGUCCUGCCUCUUUAGGUCUGGGAACCUUAAGAGGGUUGAGUCCUUGGGCGUGGACCAUGAUAGGCUAUACUUCAGUGAGAUGUGGGCCUUGGGCUGCUGUGGGAUGUGCACAGAGAUUAUUCCACAGGACAGAGGCCAUUCCCCUGUUUCCUUCUCUUAGGAUGUAGUAAGGAAGCUCCACUCCUGUGAGCAGUCCCAGGGUCCCAGCCAAGGUUUCUUGGUUAUGCUUCCAACAAGGGUGGCACUUUGGCCAGAGGAGCUUCACUAGAUGACAGGGCAGUUACAUGUCUGUUGAUUCCAAGCCGCAGAGUUGUGACCUUUUAGGAGAGAGCCGAGGCAUUAUGAGCCAGGAGUGAACCAUCCUGAACACCAAGCAUGGCUGGCAGCAUCAG
rnacentral:lncRNA from 10 species